AUUUAAGUAGUUUAUAAAAAAUAUUGAUUUGUGGUGUCAAUGAAGUAAAGAAUUUACCUUAAAUC
rnacentral:tRNA from 1 species